AUUGAACGCUGGCGGCAGGCCUAACACAUGCAAGUCGAGCGGAUGAAGGGAGCUUGCUCCUGGAUUCAGCGGCGGACGGGUGAGUAAUGCCUAGGAAUCUGCCUGGUAGUGGGGGAUAACGUCCGGAAACGGGCGCUAAUACCGCAUACGUCCUGAGGGAGAAAGUGGGGGAUCUUCGGACCUCACGCUAUCAGAUGAGCCUAGGUCGGAUUAGCUAGUUGGUGGGGUAAAGGCCUACCAAGGCGACGAUCCGUAACUGGUCUGAGAGGAUGAUCAGUCACACUGGAAAUGAGACACGGUCCAGAAUCCUACGGGAGGCAGCAGUGGGGAAUAUUGGACGAUGGGCGAAAGCCUGAUCCAGCCAUGCCGCGUGUGUGAAGAAGGUCUUCGGAUUGUAAAGCACUUUAAGUUGGGAGGAAGGGCAGUAAGUUAAUACCUUGCUGUUUUGACGUUACCAACAGAAUAAGCACCGGCUAACUUCGUG
rnacentral:rRNA from 1 species